GUGCCAGCCGCCGCGGUAAGACGUAGGGGGCGAGCGUUGUCCGGAUUCACUGGGCGUAAAGAGCGCGUAGGCGGCCUGUUAAGUCAGGAGUGAAAUCUCCAGGGCUCAACCCGGAAAUUGCUUCUGAUACUGGCAGGCUAGAGGGUCAGAGAGGUGAUUGGAAUUCCCGGUGUAGCGGUGACAUGCAUUGAUAUCGGGAGGAACACCCGUGGCGAAGGCGGAUCACUGGCUGACUCCUGACGCUGAGGCGCGAAAGCGUGGGGAGCGAACAGGAUUAGAUACCCUGGUAGUCCACGCCCUAAACGAUGGGUACUAGUCGUCGGAGGUAUCCACCCCUUCGGUGACGAAGCAAACGCAUUAAGUACCCCGCCUGGGGAGUACGGCCGCAAGGUUGAAACUUAAAUGAAUUGACGGGG
rnacentral:rRNA from 1 species